UGUGGGCAGGUGAUGAAUCAAAUUGGUAUUUAUGGGUAAUUUGCGUCUGAAUUUCAUUGAUGUUUUAUCAAUCACCUUGGAGAACUGAUGCCCUUG